AUUCCUACGGGGCGCAGCAGUCGGGAAUAUUGCGCAAUGGGCGCAAGCCUGACCCAGCAACGCCGCGUGAAGGAAGAAGGCUUUCGGGUUGUAAACUUCUUUUCUCAGGGACGAAGUAAGUGACGGUACCUGAGGAAUAAGCCACGGCUAACUACGUGCCAGCAGCCGCGGUAAUACGUAGGUGGCAAGCGUUAUCCGGAUUUACUGGGUGUAAAGGGCGCGUAGGCGGGGAAGCAAGUCUGAUGUGAAAACCACGGGCUCAACCUGUGGCCUGCAUUUGAAACUGUUUUUCUUGAGUACUGGAG
rnacentral:rRNA from 1 species